GACGAACGCUGGCGGCGUGCUUAACACAUGCAAGUCGAACGGAAAGGCCCUGCUUGUGUGGGGUGCUCGAGUGGCGAACGGGUGAGUAACACGUGAGUAACCUGCCCUUGACUUUGGGAUAACUUCAGGUAACUGGGGCUAAUACCGGAUAGGAGCUCCUGCUGCAUGGUGGGGGUUGGAAAGUUUCGGCGGUUGGGGAUGGACUCGCGGCUUAUCAGCUUGUUGGUGGGGUAGUGGCUUACCAAGGCUUUGACGGGUAGCCGGCCUGAGAGGGUGACCGGCCACAUUGGGACUGAGAUACGGCCCAGACUCCUACGGGAGGCAGCAGUGGGGAAUAUUGCACAAUGGGCGGAAGCCUGAUGCAGCAACGCCGCGUGCGGGAUGACGGCCUUCGGGUUGUAAACCGCUUUCGCCUGUGACGAAGCGUGAGUGACGGUAAUGGGUAAAGAAGCACCGGCUAACUACGUG
rnacentral:rRNA from 1 species